GCAUAUACCAAAAAACAAACGAAAAACUAACGAAAAACAAACUAGGUUGUUAAAAACAGUCCGGCCAACUUGUAUUUCGUUAGGUUUUUUUGACAGAUGGCUGUAUUUCGUUAGUUUUUUUACACAGCUGUUUGCAUUUUGACAUACGAGAGAUUUUCUAAGCAUACAAUGGAAAUACAAGUUUUAUCUAUUGCAACAAAUUGUUUGCUAAACGCUGCUGCCUUAAUACAGCGUAGGAAAAAGAAAAAGACUAAAAAAAAAUAUUCUGCGCAAUGGCUUUUAAAAAGAGAACUGGAAGGAUUUAGCCAUAAACUGUUAAAGGAAAUUGAGUGCGAGGAUUCAAUCCUUCACAAAAAUAUCUUAAGAAUGACUCCAGCUCAGUUUGCAUUCUUAUUAGAAAAAGUACGCCCCUAUAUUAGCAAGCAGGAUACAAAAUUCAGGAACUGCAUAGGAGCUGCGGAACGGCUGCAGCUGACAUUGCGAUAUCUAUCCACUGGUGAAACCCAAAGGUCACUUCAAUUGCCGUUCCGAAUUCAGCAGUCAACCAUUUCCAGAAUUUUAAAGGAAUCAAUUCCCGCAAUAUAUUUGGCGUUAAGGGAGGAGUAUUUGAAAUUCCCUGCAAGUGAGCAAGAUUGGCGUGAUAUUGCAAAAGACUUUUAUCAGAUGUGGGGAUUCCCGAACUGCAUCGGCGCUUUAGAUGGAAAGCAUUGCAGAAUACUGCCAGUGAGGAAAGCAGGAUCUACGUAUUUCAAUUACAAAGGAUACCAUUCAUUUGUAUUGAUGGCAAUCGCUGAUGCCCACUAUCGUUUUAUUUAUGCUGAUGUCGGUGUUAAUGGGAGAGUGGGUGAUGCUGGAAUUUGGUUGAACUCGGACCUGAAAUACGCUAUUGAAAAAAAUGAAGUACAUAUACCAGCCCCAUGCACGCUCCCUUUCAUGUCAACUCCCUCGCCUUUUGUGCUUUUAGCCGAUGAUGCCUUUGCUCUAAAAGACUACUUAAUGAAACCUUACUCUCAUCUAAGACUAUCACCAAGCGAACUUAAAUACAACAACAUACUUUCGAGGAACAGGCGCGUUGUUGAAAAUGCUUUUGGCAUUCUUGCGAACCGUUUUCGAGUUUUAUUUUCACCCAUCCAUCGCGCUCCAGCUGCAGCCAUUCAGAUUGUAUUAUCUUGCGUAUGUGUGCACAACUUUUUAAGAACAGAAAAUGUGAAAAAGAAAACUACGUUUGACGCCAUUUCCGAAAGUGAAAUAGAUGCAAUAAUAGAUAACAACUAUACAACAACCGCUUCUGAAAGAAAUGCGUCAAAAAGGAGCGCUGAAGAAAUAAGAAAAACUUUCGAAAACUAUUUUUCUGCGGUAAAUUAAAAUAUCGUUUCAUUGUUUAAAUAAACCAAAACUUUUCGUGUUGGAAAUUUUCCAUACUAGUAGAAGCAACAAUUGGUUUAUUUGGUGAUUAAAUAAAUGAGUACAAUGUCUUCAAUUUAUGUACAUACCUACUAGCUAAUACCUGCCUACUUAGCGCAACCAAAUAUUUUAAUGAAAGUAAUAAUAAGGUAAAAAAGUGGUAAGAAUAAUCAAAAUACAUAUUCACUCGGCAAAAUAAUAACUCUGCCUCCUUUCGUAAAGUUUGACUAUUUUCCUUUUGUUUAUUGAACUUUAAUAAUUUACUUAUAAAAAUACACCCCAUUAAUUAAAAAUCUUUAAACUUGGCAAUAUGUGGUGCGUUUAUAAUUAUGACACGGGAUGUAUAGUUAACUCUACAAACAAAACCAUAUCAAUAAAACUUUUAAACUUUAAACGAAAUUCAGGAAAACUCAU